UAGAUGCAAGUGCGUCAUUUUAUAUAUUUUUCUAUCCACGAGCUCAUGUCAGCAUCCCUUAUAAUUCAAGUAACCACAAUUAAAAACCAGAAGCUAUAGUAAUGGAGAAAAAAAAAAAUCUGAGUCCAACGACUUGAAAAAGAGUACAUUUUUUCUGUUUUUACUAAAACAAAUAUUGAAAAGUGGAAGAGCAAUUAUUGAUAAUGUAAAUAAUACUACAACUCAACGGCAUUGAGGAAAAUGCAGGCAUGUCCAUUUGAUGUUUCCUCCGUAUCAGAAAUCAAUACCUUAAUUCUACAAAAGAAGAAGAAAAGCAUAAGCUAUUAACAAUCACAGAGAUUAUUAUCUGAGAUAAUUUUUUAAAAAAAAAGUUGUGAUGAAAAUAUUUUCCAAGUUUCUCUAGUAACUUCAUGUUAUUCGUCAAAAAGGUAGUACAAGAAUAAUAUAACUCAAUGACCAAAAAGGUAUUGCUGAAAACACAUGCAGGCAUGGUAAUCCAUUUGAUGUUUCCUCCAUAUCAGAACUCAAUAGACAAAAGAAAGAUAAACAGUUAACAAUUUUCUCAGACAAUUUAUAAAAGAAAAUUUUUAUGAUGCAAAUAUUACUUACAGAUAGCCUAGAUAAAAAGAAAAGAAAAGCAAAUUAAAAGAUUGGCUUAAUGAUACCAGUAAUAGUCAUUGCGUUUUGGUAGAAAGUAUCAGGAAGACAUAAUUAUCCUGCAUAAACUCUAUAUGCAUAACUUCUCUUGCGUUCCUGCAUUGCACAAUGCCAACACAAGAUCCUGCUCAGCUAUCCAUGUUUCCAAGACGGAUUAUAACUUUAUGAAGAUGACAUACAAUCUGAUCAAUCAAAUAAUGAAAUGAAUCUGAGAAAACACAAUAAUGUGUCAUAAAUUUAUACAUUAAGCAUUGGGGGUUAUGAAUAGGAAAGAUACAUGACAGUUAUUGUAAACAUAAAUGUUGAACAUGUAACGGUAUAUUAGUUUUAUGAAUAAACGGUGUGACUCUUCCUUACCCCACAAUUAUAACUCUUCAAUGUUGUCACAACUCUUCAAUACCUCCACAUAAAAAUAAUAGACAAACAAUUAAGGAAAGGGAAAAAGAAGCAAAGAAUGAGGAAAAAGGAAAAAAAAAAGAAAAAGAAAAAAGAUAAAUAG
rnacentral:lncRNA from 1 species